rnacentral:rRNA from 1 species
UGGGGAAUUUUGGACAAUGGGGGCAACCCUGAUCCAGCAAUGCCGCGUGUGUGAAGAAGGCCUUCGGGUUGUAAAGCACUUUUGUCCGGAAAGAAAACGCCGUGGUUAAUACCCGUGGCGGAUGACGGUACCGGAAGAAUAAGCACCGGCUAACUACGUGCCAGCAGCCGCGGUAAUACGUAGGGUGCAAGCGUUAAUCGGAAUUACUGGGCGUAAAGCGUGCGCAGGCGGUCCGCUAAGACAGAUGUGAAAUCCCCGGGCUUAACCUGGGAACUGCAUUUGUGACUGGCGGGCUAGAGUAUGGCAGAGGGGGGUAGAAUUCCACGUGUAGCAGUGAAAUGCGUAGAGAUGUGGAGGAAUACCGAUGGCGAAGGCAGCCCCCUGGGCCAAUACUGACGCUCAUGCACGAAAGCGUGGGGAGCAAACAGGAUUAGAUACCCUGGUAGUCCACGCCCUAAACGAUGUCAACUAGUUGUUGGGGAUUCAUUUCCUUAGUAACGUAGCUAACCGCGUGAAGUUGACCGCCUGGGGAGUACGGUCGCAAGAUUUAAAAACUCAAAGG